rnacentral:rRNA from 2 species
UAGGGAAUCUUCGGCAAUGGGGGGAACCCUGACCGAGCAACGCCGCGUGAGUGAAGAAGGUUUUCGGAUCGUAAAGCUCUGUUGUUAAGGAAGAACGAGUGUGAGAAUGGAAAGUUCAUGCUGUGACGGUACUUAACCAGAAAGGGACGGCUAACUACGUGCCAGCAGCCGCGGUAAUACGUAGGUCCCGAGCGUUGUCCGGAUUUAUUGGGCGUAAAGCGAGCGCAGGCGGUUAGAAAAGUCUGAAGUGAAAGGCAGUGGCUCAACCAUUGUAGGCUUUGGAAACUGUUUAACUUGAGUGCAGAGGGGGAGAGUGGAAUUCCAUGUGUAGCGGUGAAAUGCGUAGAUAUAUGGAGGAACACCGGUGGCGAAAGCGGCUCUCUGGUCUGUAACUGACGCUGAGGCUCGAAAGCGUGGGGAGCGAACAGG